GACGAACGCUGGCGGCGUGCUUAACACAUGCAAGUCGAACGGUGAACGAGGGAGCUUGCUCCCUCCGGAUCAGUGGCGAACGGGUGAGUAACACGUGAGCAAUCUGCCCCGAACUCUGGGAUAAGCGUUGGAAACGACGUCUAAUACCGGAUACGACGCGGGAGGGCAUCCUCUCCGCGUGGAAAGAACUUCGGUUCGGGAUGAGCUCGCGGCCUAUCAGCUUGAUGGUGAGGUAACGGCUCACCAAGGCGACGACGGGUAGCCGGCCUGAGAGGGUGACCGGCCACACUGGGACUGAGACACGGCCCAGACUCCUACGGGAGGCAGCAGUGGGGAAUAUUGCACAAUGGGCGCAAGCCUGAUGCAGCAACGCCGCGUGAGGGACGACGGCCUUCGGGUUGUAAACCUCUUUUAGCAGGGAAGAAGCGAAAGUGACGGUACCUGCAGAAAAAGCACCGGCUAACUACGUG
rnacentral:rRNA from 1 species